CUAUUAAUAAUCGCUUGAGAUGGGUUAUCUAUUGGUUUAUUAUUUUUGCUUUUUCUCAUGAUAUAGUGAUGUUUUUUUCGUAUGCUUCUAUUGCUAAGGCGGUAUUAAGCCUCGUACACACUUGUGAACCGAAUGGCAAAGUGCUCAAAGUACUGCAACAUUUCUCCGAUCCUGCAACAAAAGCGUGCAACAUAUCCGCAAUCCACCAGAUGUCGGUAUUUCUGCGAACCAUCAAAGGAUGUUGCGCGAUCAUGUUUAAGCAAGUCUGGACGGCUGUUGAUGAUCAGUAAAGGUAGUCGCUAGAAAGAUUGUUUGCUUAAACGCACGAAAAUGAAUGGUCAAAGGAUAUGACUUUAAAAUUUAUAGAAUCUUUC
rnacentral:lncRNA from 1 species